rnacentral:rRNA from 1 species
AUAGCGUAUAUUAAAGUUGUUGCAGUUAAAAAGCUCGUAGUUGAAACUUGGGCCUGGCUGGCAGGUCCGCCUCACCGCGUGUACUUGUCCGGCCGGGCCUUUCCUUCUGGAGAACCUCAUGCCCUUCACUGGGUGUGUUGGGGAACCAGGACUUUUACUUUGAAAAAAUUAGAGUGUUCAAAGCAGGCCUUUGCUCGAAUACGUUAGCAUGGAAUAAUAGAAUAGGACGGCCUUCCUAUUUUGUUGGUUUCUAGGAGUGCCGUAAUGAUUAAUAGGGAUAGUUGGGGGCAUCUGUAUUCAAUUGUCAGAGGUGAAAUUCUUGGAUUUAUUGAAGACAAACUACUG